CAAAAAAAAAAAAAAAAAAAAAAAAAGAAGAAAGUAGACAUCCUCUCGGGUGGGAUAAUCCUCAUGUGUUCCUCCCUUCACAGGGCACAUAGGGGAUGAUGGCUGGAAGUCCAGUGAUGUGCGUUUAGCGUCUCCGCAUGAUGGAGACGCAACCCGGAUCACUUCCACCUGACAAAACUAAGGCAGACCUCUGGCCUCUGCAUGCAGGCCAGAAGAGGGAUCUCAUUACAGAUGGUUGUGAGCCACCAUGUGGUUGCUGAGAAUUGAACUCAGGACCUCUGGAAGAACAGCCAGUGCUCUUAACCACUGAGCUAUCUCUUCAGCCCUGGGGAAGCAUUUCUUGAUUCCUCUACUUCCUGAAGCAUCCACACUGAGGGGUCAGCCUGGAGGACACUAACCCUGUUCCCAUGAACCUUCCUUCCAUGGAGCAGAACUGCCACGUGGUCACAUCUACAGCAAGGGAGGAAAUACAGGAGUGAGACACUGGAGCUCGGCAGAGAAAAUCACGCAACUGCCAUCUGCAGCCUCCGUGUUUGGCUCUGCCAAUAAAAGCCAGGAGAGGGCGAUAGUGAGGCCAGAGGCGGAAGGGAGCGAUUUGCUCCUUGAGCUGGCGUCUCCUGCAGCUGCUGUGGAAUGAACUUUGGAGAUGUGUUUCCCCAGCAACAGCCACAGAACCAGCCCCAUAGCUUUCCACCACAGACAGCAGCGACCAGCUAGGUAGAAUCUACUUCGAGGUCUGGGUCCACCGCAGGUGCAGAGACCAAGGGAGCAAGAGCACCGGACUUUUCCAAGGUCCGAGCGGCUCUGCCGGCCCCUUCAAGGGUCCCAGGUUCUGGAAUUCCAAACUCGUGGCUUUGCUCUCUGGUCUAGACCUACAGAAGCUUCCGGCUCGCUUCUCCUUUGCUGUUCUUUGGUUUUGUUUCUCCGAGACAGGGUUUCUCUGGGUAGCCCUGGCACUCGUCCUGUAGACCAGGCUGGCCUCGAACUCACAGAGAUCCGCCUGCCUCUGCCUCCCGAGUGCUGGGAUUAAAGCUGUGCGCCACUAUGCCCGGCUCAAGGAAAGGACAAUUUUAUCACCAACAUCAUUUGGAAUCUCCAGGAUAUGGUGACGAUAAAAGCCCCACCCAAUUUCAUUAAAGGGGGAGGCUAUCACUGCCCAGUGACCUUGAGAUUCUGAUCAUCUUGUUCUACCUUCCAAAUUCUGGGGUUAUAGGUGCGUGCCAUCAUCCCAGAACCAAAGCCUCUGAAUGCUAAGCAAACACUCUACCAAGCGAGGGCUUCUAAAUAGUUUUUCUCCUUUAUCCAUCUGUAUAAGUUUUCAGUAACAGUUAUUGAUUUUUUUAGACAAGGUCUCACCAUGUAGCCUUGGCUAGCCUGGAGCUCACUGUGUAGAUCAGGCUAGCCUCAAAGUCACAGAGAUGUGGGCCACCAUACCUGGCUUAUAGUUAACAAUUUUGUAUUUAAUCAGUUGCUGUAUUACAUUUUCUGUGUAAAUUACUGCUGUGGUUUCUGUUGCACUGACGAGGCCCCGAUGGCUACGAAAAUCGGUACUAGGAAGGGUCCCGAGGAAACAGACGAGAGGUGGAACCUGGCCUAGCGGUGUCGCGGAGUUUGAAUGCUAAGCUCCAUGCCAAGGCAGAUUCAGUGCUCUCAGUUCCUGCCACGGAGCAGCACAAGGAACCAGGUGUCAGCUGUGGUUAUCAGUGACAAGGUGUCAACUAAAGCAGGUGUGUUGCGCUGACAGAGAUAACGGUGAGGGCCACUGACCGUCCUGGAUGGCAUCUGAAUCUUUGCAGAAGAAAGAAGAAGCCAAGCAUGGUGGUAACACGUAUCUGUAUUCUCAGCAUUCGGGACACUGAAGCGGGAAGAUCAGGAGUUCAAGGCCCACCUGGACUACACAGUUAGAGCAUUGCUCAAAAGGCAGAGAACGAGAGGCAGACAGAGCGGCACAGUUCCCACUCCAGAAAACGGUGUUUUCUCUUCCUUCCCUCCCUCCCUCCUUCCUUCCUUUUUUUCUUUUUGUUUUGAUUGUCGUUUGGGGACUUUGUUUUAUUUUGAGAUGGGAUCUCUACAUAUCCCUUGCAGGCCUGCAAUGUACCACAUACACCAAACUUAAAACAAUUCUCUUGCUUCAAACUUGUGACAGGGGCUGGUGGGAUGGCUCAGUGGUUAAAGGCAUUUGCUGCUCCUGCAGAGAAACUGGGCUCAGUUUCCAGCACCCACAAGGCAGCUA